rnacentral:lncRNA from 15 species
CUCGUCUUUGUCAGAAUAAUCCUUCAUCGCCGCCUGGGGCUGAAACCCUAGCCGGCUCUUGAUAUAGACCCAUGGUCAGCACUGGCUCUGAUAUAGGAUUCUAGCACCUGAACACUCACAAGCCUCCUGCCCAACAUGGGACCUGUUGAACCUGCUCACCCCUCCGAUGCACGCAGACGCACACACACACACUGAGACACUCCAUUAUGAUCCCCUUGUAUGAUCUCUCACUUGCUCUUUUCUUUUUGUCUCUCCGUCUCUCUGUAAUUGCUAUGUAGAGCGCCAGGAACCCACAUUUACAUAUGAGCUCAUUUUAUCCCGCUUUAUCUGCAUCCCUCAACCACUGCUGUGCAUUUGUUUACACAUGGCCUGUCUCAACUUAGCCUUAAAAGAGACUCUGCAGAAACUAGAAACUUUGUCUAUCAGUCAGUCUGUCUGUCAGCCUGUUUACGCGUCUGUCUAUUUGCGUCGUGAUUUGCUGCCGGCCUGGUUCACCUCAGUGAAGCAUGAUAAAAACUCUCUGAGGGACAGGAGAGUUGGUUUCCCUGUUCUGGUUGCAUUGGAGACGGAUGCACGGUUCCUCAGAGACUGCAGCUCUUGAGGGCACUAUCCCUCUCCGUCUUAUUUUCGCACACAUACACAAGGUCGUAAAAAUCCCACUGACGAGUCACGGACAUUAUCAGCUCCAAGGCAAUUCAGUCUUGUGAUGGAGCGAUACAGAGUAUGCAAAGUCACUUCCAAUCUCAGCUUAGCAACACAAGCCUCUGGAAGAGGAAGUGUUCCAUGGUCUGCAGGAGAUGACCGUGGUUUUGUGUGUGCACACAUCGUGCACAGGUUGCCCUUAACAGAAGAGCUGCACAAUGCCAUAGAAAUCUGUAUGCAUCCACACAAAAGAAACCAUGUAGGGCUUGUUGUCCCUGCAAUGGGUGGCCUCCUCUUUAGCCCUGCAGGGAGCAUGUGACCGCCACUGGAAUCCCCUUUUCAUCUAUGAACAGAGCAUGAACAACAUGGGUCCCUGCAGAUGCGAUGAAGGCCCUCAGUGGUCUUGUGUUCUGGCCUUUUCAAACAGACUCCAGGCCUGCUCUAGUUCUGAGGAGAGAGGGAAAGUUUUGGGUGAAUGAAAGAGAAACAAAGAGAUAGAGGGACAUGUGGAACUGAUGAAGAAACAAAGAAGAUUUUCAAAAUAAAAUUGAAAAUCGGUUAAAAAGCCGGAAAACACGUGGUAUGACUCGCUAUAAGUUUGUUCUUUCUUUCUUUUGAGGUUAGUGGGACAACAACUUGUUAGCUUAUGUGUGAGCAGUUGCUCUCACGUUUUAGUCACAUGGAAAUUCCUGUUCCCCCUCAUGCCCCCCGACAAACAAGAGGCCGCUUGAUGAUAGGGGACGAUUAUUUAGCCUACUUCUGUUGCCAGCUCAUCUUCUGCCCUGGUCAGCUGUAAAGAAUGCCCUAAUUUAAUUUCCAACCUGCUAACAAGCAACCACACACAUACUGUACACAUUCACCCACACUUCUCUUUUUCACUUACCAUACUUGUGGCUCUCCCCGUCUCUUGUUUCUUUCUCACAUUUGCACACAUAUACAGGUCUGAUUCUGCUGACCCAGUGACAUCGGGCAGCACAAUGCUCCAGUUCUCCCGUACAGAGAGAGUCUCUCCAGUUUUUGGUGCUUUGGCACAACACUGACUUCCUCACAGACACAACAAUGUCAUGCUGCUUUUUCUCUCCAUGAUUCACUCCAGGCCACUGACCCAGUCUUAGAAAGAGGAUACAAAACGCAAGCUCAUUCACUCAUACAGGCACUUGGAUGUGUCGGUUUUGGCAUUUGGACAGACACAAACACGUAACGUCCUGUCUGAAGGCCACUAUAAGGGCCUAGAAUAUGACUUGGCUUAUAAACUGCCUUUCAUGGAUGUGUAGAUAUAGAGAGUAGUUACAGUGUGAAUGUGACUUUCUUAUCAUGAGUGUGUGUGUGUGUGUGUGUGUGUGUGUGUGUGUGUGUGUAAAAGAUGUGUACAUAUACUAUCUGUAGCUCUGUUUGUCAGUGUCAGAUUAAAUAAAGGUCACACUAAAAUUAUGCUUAUGUAUUCACUUAAAUUCAACUUCCUGGGGCACCCUGAAAGCUCCCCUGGUAGAGCUGGUGCCCCAUUUACCAAGGCUGAGUCCUUGCUGCAGCAGCCAUGGGAUCGAAUCCGACCUUUGGACCUUUGCUGCAUGUCAUUUC